UGUGGCCCAAGGCUGUAAAAUCCAACAAGAACCAGAAUUUCACUGUGAUGUUUUCAGAAGUCUUAGUAUUUUGUUUGGGAAGAUGGGCCUGGAAGCCACAAUAAGCCUUUCUAAUGUAGCAGCUGGCUGCCUCCUCCCGGUUCUCACUAUGUGCAGGCGCCAUGUUGAGCACAGUGUAGGACAUCUGUGACCUCCCAUACAUGUGGCUCUGGGACAAGGCCGGAGGAUGGCUCCCACAGAGGCCAAGAGAAGACUGGGUUUCCUCUGUGAGCGCCUCGUCUGUGGAGGUCUGCGUUCACAGUGACCCCAUGAAAUGCUCCCCGCCUUACCUUCCCAGGACAAGAAGCACAGUGCGAUUACCCUACUUGGUAAGUGGAGAACUUGGGCCUGGUUUUAAAGUAAAAAGUGCUCUCUAGCAGAGGGGUCGAGAACCUGUCUUGUGUUUGGAGUACAUGUGGUCCUGGGACCCUGCCUAGGCCUGAGGGACACCAGCAAGGACAGACAGAGGCCAAGAGCUGCACUGGCCCCAUACCGAGGGUUGUGCUGAGGAAGAUGUGCUUGGACAUAGCCAGGAGUCCUUUGUCCCAGGCUUUAGAGAGGCACAUGUCGCUGGGUGCCUCAUGAAAGGCCCCGACAGACAGCUGCUUCAUCUGUGGGGUAGCCUCCCACAGAUGGCCCAAACAGGAGUCACUCUUCUGCCAGAUCAUGUAAUACACACUCAGGCAAAAGCUAAUGGUCCAGAGCAAACAGAUCCUGGGAGGUGGGGUGCGCGAGGUGCCUCUGGGGAGCUUCUAGAAAGCAGCCCCGGCGCUCUGUCAUGGUUCCCAGCACAGCACAGCAUUCAGUCAUCUCUUUCAAGCUUUCUAUAAAGUCGCGAGCUCCUAAACACACGCUGAAGCCUAUAUACUCCAAUAGAGCGUGCUCACAUGCCCCCCCGCCUUUGGUACCGGGACUGAAUCCAGGUGCUUAACCAUUGAGCUACAUCCUUAGCACCUUUUAUUUUGCAUUGAGACAGGGACUCACUACGUUGCUUAGAGUUUUGCUAAGGUGCUGAAGCUGGCCUCCCACCUCAGCCUCCUGAGCCUCUGGGAUUACAGAG
rnacentral:lncRNA from 1 species